UACGGAGGGGGCUAGCGUUGCUCGGAAUUACUGGGCGUAAAGCGCACGUAGGCGGUCUUUUAAGUCGGGGGUGAAAUCCUGGAGCUCAACUCCAGAACUGCCUUCGAUACUGGAAGACUUGAGUCCGGGAGAGGUGAGUGGAACUGCGAGUGUAGAGGUGAAAUUCGUAGGUAUUAGGAAGAACACCAGUGGCGAAGGCGGCUCACUGGUCCGGUACUGACGCUGAGGUGCGAAAGCGUGGGGAGCAAACAGG
rnacentral:rRNA from 1 species